rnacentral:rRNA from 1 species
UACGAAGGGGGCUAGCGUUGCUCGGAAUCACUGGGCGUAAAGCGCACGUAGGCGGAUCGUUAAGUCAGGGGUGAAAUCCUGGAGCUCAACUCCAGAACUGCCUUUGAUACUGGCGACCUUGAGUUCGGGAGAGGUGAGUGGAACUGCGAGUGUAGAGGUGAAAUUCGUAGAUAUUCGCAAGAACACCAGUGGCGAAGGCGGCUCACUGGCCCGAUAUUGACGCUGAGGUGCGAAAGCGUGGGGAGCAAACAGG